CUACGGGAUGCUCCAGUGAGGAAUAUUGCACAAUGGGGGGAAAAAUGAGGCAGCAACGCCGCGUGGAGGAAGACUCCUUUCUUUUUUCCAACUCCUUUUAGGGGGAAAGAAAAUGACGGUAGCAUAUGAAUAAGCACCGGCUAACUCCGUGCCAGCAGCCGCGGUAAUACGGAGGGUGCAAGCGUUACUCGGAAUCACUGGGCGUAAAGGACGCGUAGGCGGGUUGGAAAGUCAGGUGUGAAAUCCUACAGCUUAACUGUAGAACUGCACUUGAAACUUCUAAUCUAGAGUAUGGGAGGGGGAGAUGGAAUUAGUGGUGUAGGGGUAAAAUCCGUAGAUAUCACUAGGAAUACCUAAAGCGAAGGCGAUCUCCUGGAACAUUACUGACGCUAAGGCGUGAAAGCGUGGGGAGCAAACAGGAUUAGAUACCCUCGUAGUC
rnacentral:rRNA from 1 species